rnacentral:rRNA from 1 species
GAUCCUGGCUCAGGAUGAACGCUAGCGGCAGGCUUAACACAUGCAAGUCGAGGGGCAGCGGGGUGUAGCAAUACACUGUCCGGCGACCGGCGCACGGGUGCGUAACGCGUAUGCAACCUACCCAUAACAGGGGCAUAACACUGAGAAAUUGGUACUAAUUCCCCAUAACAUUCGAAGAGGCAUCUCUUUGGGUUGAAAACUCCGGGUGGUUAUGGAUGGGCAUGCGUUGUAUUAGCUAGUUGGUG